GUGCUCGCUUCUGCAGCACGUAUACUAAAAUUGGAACGAUACAGAGAAGAUUACGCGGCCCUGCGCAAGGAUGACAUGCAAAUUCGUGAAGCGUUCCACAUUAAA
rnacentral:snRNA from 1 species